CUACGGGAGGCAGCAGCAGGGAAUCUUGCGCAAUGGGCGAAAGCCUGACGCAGCAACGCCGCGUGGGGGAUGAAGGCCUUCGGGUUGUAAACCCCUUUCAGGAGGGAAGAAAUUGACGGUACCUCCAAAAGAAGGACCGGCCAACUACGUGCCAGCAGCCGCGGUAAUACGUAGGGUCCGAGCGUUAUCCGGAAUCAUUGGGCGUAAAGAGCUCGUAGGCGGUUCAGCAAGUCGGCUGUGAAAGUCCGAGGCUCAACCUCGGAAUUGCAGUCGAUACUGCUGUGACUCGAGUCCGGUAGAGGAGAAUGGAAUUCCCGGUGUAGCGGUGAAAUGCGCAGAUAUCGGGAGGAACACCAGUAGCGAAGGCGGUUCUCUGGGCCGGCACUGACGCUGAGGAGCGAAAGCGUGGGGAGCAAACAGGAUUAGAAACCCCGGUAGUCC
rnacentral:rRNA from 1 species